GACGAACGCUGGCGGCGUGCUUAACACAUGCAAGUCGAACGGAAAGACCCUGCUUUUGUGGGGUGCUCGAGUGGCGAACGGGUGAGUAACACGUGAGUAACCUGCCCUUGACUUUGGGAUAACUUCAGGAAACUGGGGCUAAUACCGGAUAGGAGCUCCUGCUGCAUGGUGGGGGUUGGAAAGUUUCGGCGGUUGGGGAUGGACUCGCGGCUUAUCAGCUUGUUGGUGGGGUAGUGGCUUACCAAGGCUUUGACGGGUAGCCGGCCUGAGAGGGUGACCGGCCACAUUGGGACUGAGAUACGGCCCAGACUCCUACGGGAGGCAGCAGUGGGGAAUAUUGCACAAUGGGCGGAAGCAUGAUGCAGCAACGCCGCGUGCGGGAUGACGGCCUUCGGGUUGUAAACCGCUUUCGCCUGUGACGAAGCGUGAGUGACGGUAAUGGGUAAAGAAGCACCGACUAACUACGUG
rnacentral:rRNA from 1 species